UCCGAGUUGUCCCCGGCAGUCCUCUUAGAGUCCCCGGCAUUACCCGCUGGCAACUAAGAGCAGGGGUUGCGCUCGUUGCGGCACUUAAGCCAACACCUCACGGCACGAGCUGACGACAGCCAUGCAGCACCUGUGCUAGCCCCUUACGGACACCGGCUUUCACCGGCUUUAACUAGCAUGUCAAGCCUAGGUAAGGUUCUUCGCGUUGCCAGCACGUAAUGGUGGGGACUCAUGGGAGACUGCCGGUGUCAAACCGGAGGAAGGUGGGGAUGACGUCUUGGAAGCAAGC
rnacentral:misc_RNA from 1 species